AGCGGCUUGGUGUCCAUGGUCGAUGGCGUGAACAAUGUUCAGGACUGCGCGGUUCUGUGCGUCCGCCACCGGCCCAGCCAAUAAGGCAAGUCAAUUCCGUCGUCUAAGCAGAGCGGGUACGCUUCACCAGCCAGUCGGAGGACUUGCUCGCUGACGAGAGCCACCACUGCCGUCUGGUUGUCAUAAGUCGCCUCGUAACGAAGCACUCCGACGCGGUCACUGUUCGCUUGAAUCGGCACUACUGGUCGUGCCAGUGUUAAAUUGCCCUUACUUCCUGGACUUUUUGAAAGCGCUGAUAAACAUCAACGUAUUGAUCCAGCAUGAACGAGUUGAAUCAGUAUUAUUAUUUUUCGUCCUAUUGUCGCUGUUCGUUAUGUUGAGUUAAGUAGCCAAGAGGAAUACAAUGUUUACGUUCCCGAAUCUGCUCACUCGGCAAGCAACUAAUAGUAAUCUAAAUCUCCCGAAUUGUAACAAUGUGUAUGGCGAACGGAUGCUAGAGUGUUUUGGUGUUCUAACCAGGAAUGAUGUGCCCACUGAAGUAAAAGUUGCGAGAAACUUUCAUCUUGCGUGCGAUUGCUUUUAUCUUUCUAAUCAAGCAUCCUGAUAACUUGUUUCCACUGUUGUUUGCGGAUGUGUCAUUCUUUUAGUUGUUUUUUGUUUAACUGUAUAUCUUAAGUGACUUGCGGCUGACCUUCGAUGCUCUUUUUGCAUUGGACCAGAUACCAGCCGAAAGUGAUCCUGUGCAUUUCCUUUUGGAUAUUGUUCAAUAAAGCAUUGA